rnacentral:lncRNA from 1 species
AGGGGCCAUCUCUUUCACGCGUCUAGUGCUUAUAGCCCAAUGAGUGGUGGUGGAGGAUGAUUUGACAAUGGUGGUUAGCUGGAUUCGGGGACGAGGGAGGGCUACUGCCUCCAAUCCAUUGGUCCAAAACACCUGAAGCCUGUUAGUGGAGUGCGCCUUCGUAGAUAUCAGACAUAUUUACUGAGAGGUAAAUUCUACUGUCGAUUGGAUUGCGAGUUUUAUAGC